rnacentral:rRNA from 1 species
CCUACGGGGGGCUGCAGUGGGGAAUAUUGGACAAUGGGGGAAACCCUGAUCCAGCCAUGCCGCGUGAGUGAAGAAGGCCCUAGGGUUGUAAAGCUCUUUCGACGGGGACGAUGAUGACGGUACCCGUAGAAGAAGCCCCGGCUAACUUCGUGCCAGCAGCCGCGGUAAUACGAAGGGGGCAAGCGUUGUUCGGAUUUACUGGGCGUAAAGGGCGCGUAGGCGGAUUUACAAGUCAGAGGUGAAAGCCCUGGGCUCAACCCGGGAAUGGCCUUUGA